UACGUAGGGACCGAGCGUUGUCCGGAUUCAUUGGGCGUAAAGGGUGCGUAGGCGGCGCGGUAAGUCGGGUGUGAAAUCUUGGAGCUUAACUCCGAAACUGCAUUCGAUACUGCCGUGCUUGAGGACUGGAGAGGAGACUGGAAUUUACGGUGUAGCGGUGAAAUGCGUAGAUAUCGUAAGGAAGACCAGUGGCGAAGGCGGGUCUCUGGGCCGAAACUGACGCUGAGGAGCGAAAGCGUGGGGAGCAAACAGG
rnacentral:rRNA from 1 species